rnacentral:ribozyme from 13 species
AAAGGCCCGGAAGGAAGAGAAAGAGAAGAGGAUGAAGGAGAAGGAGAGUUACUCUCUUGUUCAUCGUUUUCCAGGAUCAUUCGUUCUCUUUCUGUUACAUCUAUUUGUUUCCCCCCUCUUCUCUUCUUUGGCGGUGUUUUCUCUUUUUCUUUCUCUUGUUCUCCAAUCAUCGAUUUGGUUGUUUGGUUGAUUACAAGUAAUCUUGGUCCAAGAUUCUUUGACUGGCAUGAUUAUUAUCACUGUAUUUUAUUAUUUGAACAAAACAAUUUACAAAAACGAAAAGAAAAAAAUAAAAUUCGA